UGGGGAAUAUUGCACAAUGGGCGCAAGCCUGAUGCAGCCAUGCCGCGUGUGUGAAGAAGGCCUUCGGGUUGUAAAGCACUUUCAGCGAGGAGGAAGGUGGUGAGCUUAAUACGCUCAUCAAUUGACGUUACUCGCAGAAGAAGCACCGGCUAACUCCGUGCCAGCAGCCGCGGUAAUACGGAGGGUGCAAGCGUUAAUCGGAAUUACUGGGCGUAAAGCGCACGCAGGCGGUUUGUUAAGUCAGAUGUGAAAUCCCCGGGCUCAACCUGGGAACUGCAUUUGAAACUGGCAAGCUAGAGUCUCGUAGAGGGGGGUAGAAUUCCAGGUGUAGCGGUGAAAUGCGUAGAGAUCUGGAGGAAUACCGGUGGCGAAGGCGGCCCCCCUGGACGAAGACUGACGCUCAGGUGCGAAAGCGUGGGGCAGCAAACAGGAUUAGAUACCCUGGUAGUCCAGCGCUGUAAACGAUGUCGAUUUGGAGGUUGUGCCCUUGAGGCGUGGCUUCCGGAGCUAACGCGUUAAAUCGACCGCCUGGGGAGUACGGCCGCAAGGUUAAAACUUAAAGGAAUUGACGGGGUC
rnacentral:rRNA from 1 species